rnacentral:lncRNA from 1 species
AAUAGUUAAUAUGCAUAAGUCUUUUCUUAUGUAUGGUGCAUAAGUCAUUCACAGCCAUCAGAUGAUUUUACACAUGUAAUAAUCAUAACUGAAGAACUUUCUAUUUUUGCUUGCUCAAUUUCGACACAUUUUACAUGCGAUUCGAUCACCGAUUUCGAAAACUAAUACCGGAAACAUUCAUAAAAUCGAACGACGAUCAAAACGGUAUAAAGAACGUCGAGUUUCGUUGAUUAUUGAGGGAGAACGAACCGGGUCGACGAACCGGGUCGUCGCGACCCGUUUCUGCAG